CUUCUAACAAAAAAAAAAGUGUAACUCUAAGUUAUAAGAACUGCAACCAAAAGCAAAAGGCUGACAAUAACUGGCUCACUUUAAGAGAAUGGUUUUGAGUCUUCUUCAUUAAUAUACUUUGGAGACCCACAGUUAUAACUUUAAUGCCCAAAUUUCAAUAGUAUCCAAAAUAAUCUCUGAGCUAGCCUUAGGAUGUUUCUUAGCUAAGCGUUAUUAGUUUGGCUGGCUCACUCUUGGACAGAAAAAAAACAUAUUUAUGGUACUCCAAAUGUAGAAAAACCCAUGGCUUUUAUUUAAUACAUUUACAGUUUCUUGAGAUUACAAAACAUUUCACAGUUUCUAUCUGUAUGUAUAUUUAAAUUUCCUCUAAAUAUCUGAAAUCACACCAUCAGAAUCUAAGUUAGAUGAGAGCAGGAACCCUGACUAUUUCACUCACGUGUGUAGAGCCAAUGUCCCGUCUCCAGAGUAAAGAUUGGAUGGAAUGCAGAAUAUUGAAAUGGAAGGCAGAAUAUUGAAAUGGAAUGCAGAAUAUUGAAAUGGAAUGUAGAAUAUUGAAUGAAUCAAUCAAAGACUUUAACACUUCCAGCUACAGGCAGCUCAUUAUGGCUCAAAGCAGCCAGGCCUCAGAGUUCUUUUUUACAAUGAUUGGACUGUCAUCUCUUCCCACUUGUUUGUUCCAGUUUUAGCUCGUCAGGUUGACUUAUUUGGAGGUUCAAGAUAAUUGACCACUAAGUCUGGUUCUGGAGAAGUUGGGUUUCCACAUGCCUUACAGUACAAGUGUGGCAAUUCAGGAGGUGAUCUAGAAGCAAGGUGUCCUUGCUCACGGAAGAAUGACAGCGGGAGAGAAGAUCGAAAUCACUGCCCAGGUUAAUAAAGCAAUAUGUGAGAUGACAGUCCAAGUUAGAAACCAGCCAAAGGUAUUUCAAGUAACACUUUUAUAGUGCUUAUAUGUGGUAGGUAGUUUUCUAAGCACUUCACAGAUGAGGUGAUUCAUUUAAUCCUUACAAUAACCCUAUGAGGGGUAAGCUUUCACCCCUCCUUUAACAGGAGAGCAAACUAAAGUGCAACAUGAUAAGUUAUGUAGACGACAUUAGAGCUCAGGCAGUCUGGCUAAGAAGUUGGGGCUCUUAACUACUAUCCUAUGCUACUUCUCCAUGCAAAUAAGAAUUAUUGUUAGUAAAGUCACUUUGUGGUUUUUUGUAUUUUUAGAUUUUUAUCGAUUUAGGAGGUACCAGUCAGGUUUCUUACAUGCAUAUAUUGCCAAGUGGAGAUGUCUGGGCUUCUGGUAUGCCCAUCAGCCUAAUAGUAAAUAUUGUACCUAAUAGAUAAUUUUUCAAUUCUCACCCCCACCCCACCCUCUUUGGUAACUUUGGGAUUUUUGGAAGCUUUAGUUCUUCAAAACCCCCCAAAUGUGGUAUAUAAUAAUGUAGAUAACUAAAAGAUUCAAUAGGUUUUUUUUCUCUUAAGAAGGAAAAUAAAGAUACAUUUAUCCAUAAUUUACUCUAAAAUAAAAUUCUACAUUACAAAUAUGUUGUAUAAUCUAGUGUGCUGAAUUACAUGGCUUAUACAACGUGAUCGUCUUAUAUUAAGAUGAAUAUUCCCAAAAAUGUGAUGAUUGUGUAGGGAAUAAAUUUCAUAUUCAUAUUUUCCAGGAAUCAAUGAUUGAUUCCACAAUGGAAUAAACCUUUCAUAGCAUAAUGAUAGCUUCUUGUAUAGGUUUGUUAAACUACAUGUUAGUAAAUAACAUCUCACUUACUGGCAUAAAAUCUUCAUUAUAAUAUUUAGAAAAUUUGUCUUGGUUGAAAACAGCAUCUUUAUUUAAUUAAUUAAUUUGUUUGUUUAUUUUUUGAGAUAAGAUCUCACUUUGUCACCCAGGCUGGAGUGCAG
rnacentral:lncRNA from 1 species